CUGGCUGGGCGGUAAGGAACGCGGGGCCUUGGUAGAGCAAAGUGCGGACCAAAGACUUUGCGUCUGGUUGCUUUUACCUUGCCUAGUAGG